UGCCUAAUGGUUUAGUUAUUAAGAUUCUGCCCUUCCAGUGCAGAGGCUGUGGGUUCAAUCCCUAUUUGGGGAA
rnacentral:tRNA from 1 species